AGAGUUUGACUCCGUGGCUCGAGGAUGAACGCUGGCGGCGUGACCUAAUACAUGCAAGUCGAGCCGAACCACUUCGGUGGUGAGCGGCGAACGGGUGAGUAACACGUAGGUGAUCUGCCCAUCAGACGGGGACAACGAUUGGAAACGAUCGCUAAUACCGGAUAGGGCGAAAGUUUAAAGGUGCUUCUGGCACCGCUGAUGGAUGAGCCUGCGGCGCAUUAGCUAGUUGGUAGGGUAAAGGCCUACCAAGGCGACGAUGCGCAGCCGACCUGAGAGGGUGAACGGCCACACUGGGACUGAGACACGGCCCAGACUCCUACGGGAGGCAGCAGUAGGGAAUCUUCGGCAAUGGGCGAAAGCCUGACCGAGCAACGCCGCGUGAAUGAUGAAGGCCUUCGGGUUGUAAAAUUCUGUUAUAAGGGAAGAACGACUUUAGUAGGAAAUGGCUAGAGUGUGACGGUACCUUAUGAGAAAGCCACGGCUAACUACGUG
rnacentral:rRNA from 1 species